UACGUAGGGUGCAAGCGUUGUCCGGAUUUAUUGGGCUUAAAGGGUGCGCAGGCGGGCUUAUAAGUCAGUGUUGAAAGGCCCAGGCUUAACCUGGGGAUUGGCUUUGAUACUGUAAGUCUUGAGAGGGGUCGGGGCAGCCGGAAUUGAUGGUGUAGCGGUGAAAUGCAUAGAUAUCAUCAGGAACUCCGAUAGCGAAGGCAGGCUGCUUGGCCCCAUCUGACGCUCAUGCACGAAAGCGUGGGGAUCAAACAGG
rnacentral:rRNA from 1 species